ensembl:rRNA 5S_rRNA 5S ribosomal RNA
AUCUAUGGCCAUACCACCAUGAACGUGCCCAAUCUCAUCUGAUCUCCGACGCCAAGCAGGGUCGGGCCUGAUUAGUAUUUGAAUGGGAGUUCUUGUUCCAUGUCCAGCUAUGCUAAAGUUG